GCAUCAGGUAGGCUAUUAAGACUUUACAAAACUUUCUUUAGAUUUUUCUUUACAUGAGCAAUCAUGAAAUUUAGUAGAGUGACAUUUACUUUCUUAUAUAUCUUAUAGAUGACCAAUUUUCACAGAAUCUUGUACUUAGAGUACUGCAGGAUCACGUACAGAGGAUGCGUUCAAUGCACACUUGCUUCCAGAACUGUAGCCAAUGAAUGAUGAGCAGAAGUUACAGGGGCAGAUGGCCGAAAUCAUCAGAUUCAUUGUGGACGGUCUUGAUCUGGACCCAAAAUUUAGACAUGGUCAAUAAGUUUUCAGGUGUGGUGGACAGACAGACUUUUCAGAGGCUUGUAGAAAAAGUUUUUGUUGAUGACAUCUCCUUGGGCAAAAUUGUUACACUGAUCUGUGUUGUUGGAAAAUUACUUGCUGAGAUGGUUGCUGAGUUAGGAGUCUUGUGUAAUUGUGUCUUGGACACUGGAUUACUUUAGGGAUAAGUUAUUGAACUGGAUCUGCAAUAUGGUAGGAUUGAUAAAUAGUAUCUCUUGCUUGGCUCAUUACUCCUUUGAGCAAGAUUCUGGUUCCUCAACCAGCCUGAUCUCACCUUCCUCUGGAGUCAUCUUCAUCAGUGGACUACUGCUUGGUGGCUUCAUUGUCUGGAGACUAAACCGAUGUGCCUGAGUGGGGUCAAGGGAGGUGUGUUUGAAAUGUGAAAAGGAAAGCAAAAGGAUGGAUGCAGGGAUUUACAGAUGUAAUGGACCAAAACAAAGCAAAAAUGGUUUGGUGACCAAAAAGAAAGAUAGGAGAAGAGAAGGCUGUUUGGAAAUGGCAUGCACAGUAAGAAAGUGUAAUAUGUACCUUUAUAUUAAUGGAAGAGCAAAUAAUUACAUGUGAUCUGCGAUAUUUGCAAAAAUAAAUAAAAUAAUAAUAAUAAUGUGAAACAAGGCAAAAACAAAUCCAAGUAAUAUAUUGAUUUAGAUAUUUAUUAUUAUUAUUAUUAUUAUUAUUAUUAUUGCUCAAGGAAAACUUUGAUCAGACAACUGAAAUUUAUUGUUUGCAUCAGUCCUCGUGAGAGAGAUAAAAGAAUGAUUAGGCAUAAGGAACUUUUCUCACAUUUUCAAACAAAAGCAUAUCCAAAAGGGGAAGUAUCAUGAUAACCAGCAUGACUUGAAGAGUGCAAUACCAAGAAUACUGUAUUUUGUGGUGGCAGCUGUAAACCUCUACCUCAUUUUCACUUGUGUGUUCACUAGUGCCAUUAUUUUAAAUUCAUGAAUUUUCUUGAAACUGUUUCAUCCCUGCAAUUAUUAUAAUAAUAAUAAAUAGUUUUAAGUGCCAUCACUGUUCAUUUUAUUUACAGGAACAAUUGCUAACUUUAACUUUUUUCUUAGGAAAGCACACAAAUAUAGAACAUAUAGCAGAAAAAAAAAUUAUCUUGCAUUCAGCCUGUAUAUAUUAAAUAUGUUUGCUUUUUGCUCUGCAUUAUAUAUGGACAUUGACAAACAGGUUAAAAAGAGUUGUUUAGAGGAUACAGAAUCCUCUAACAAAUACUACAUACUGAACAUCAAAUACAUACAUUACAUAUAAAUGAACACUUCCGUUUAGCCUGUGUUUGCAUGGAUGUCCAUUUAUAAUGUAGUAAGAGCAAACAAAUUAAUUUCCAUAGAGAGAUGGAUGGUAACGGCUUCAUCUUGGCCAAAUCUACUAAACAUUUUGAAUGCACAAAGAAGCACAUAAUGUGCUGCUUUUAUUUAUAACCAUCCAACUGCAGCAGUAUAAUUGAAAGUGGCACAUACAGUAAUUGCAGUGUUGUACUUUGCAUGAAAUAGCUAGAAAUCAAAGCCUGAUUGUAAUUUUUCUCUCUGCACUUUCACAGUAUUAAGUGAAGUGAAAAACAAAUAUGGGAGACACAGUAUCAUAUGAGCCUAAAGUAAAUUUAAAGUAGAUUGGUUGUGAUUCAAUUUUAAUUAGUGAUAUGAGGCAAUACCAAACCUGAUUUGAUUAGUGUGUAAAGAAUAUGCAUAAAAAAUGGCACUGUAACUUAACUACACAUCAGUGAGCUGUGAUUAAGUAAAUUUUGUUAGAGGACUUCAGGUUUGAAAUUUAAUUGAAUCAAUAAUACGUUCCUCAGUGUUUUAAGCAAAAAAUGCCAAAUGCUUGCAUUUAAAAUGUAAUCUUUCUCCCCUAAACAAAUGAAACACUAUUUUAAAGCUGUACAGAAAAUCUUUAGACAUUUCUCAAGUUGCAUGUGAAGGAAACAUUGAAAAAUACAUUAUCAAACAAGCAAAAAAUAAAAAUGUCUUGUAAAAACACUAUUAACACAUUAAUAAACAAUAAAAGCCUUGUUAGGACUCUUACUAAAGGGUAUCCAUGACAUAACCUGGUGGAAACUAAAAACAAUAAACAUGAGAAGAAUCACACAGGACACAUGCUGAAAAUUUUGGCAUGAGCUUUUAACAUUUUUAUUGACUUUUUAAUAACCUUUUCUUUUUAAAUUGGAUUUAAUUUUUCUAAUAGUUUUCAUUUUUUUUCCUAUCUGUAAUGAAGAUUUGAUCAUUUAGGUUAGCAUUCACGUUCAAACUUUCAUACUUUUAGUAAUAUAACGAUUUUUUUAAGUCUCAGUUUUCACAAUCUCUGUUAAAUUUGACAGUUUAUUAAUUUUUUUCUUUAUACAUUUAAAAAAUAUAAAAGGUAAAUAAUAAACAUUCCAUUGAAAUAUAUUUUAUACAUUUCUUGAUAUUUUUCCCUUUCUUCAUGUUAUGACAACAAAAUUGUAUCCAGCAUCAAUCUAGCAUAGAACUCAUCCAUUGUUUUAGAAACCUUCUCUUUCCCACUGGCCUCUCUUUCUCAGUCUUUCUCUCUGUUUUAGGGGGGAUUUAUGGUUAGGAUUGCGCUUAGCAGUAGACACAGCAGCUCCAUUAUCUGUGAUAGUGCAAUGAAUUCCCCCAUUUAAACAAGCUAAACAUAAAGACAAUAUAUAUAUAUAUAUAUAUAUAUAUAUAUAUAUAUAUAUAUAUAUAUAUAUAUAGUAUGUAUGUAUAUAUAUAUAUAUAUAUACAGUGGUGUGAAAAAGUGUUUGCCCCCUUCCUGA